CCAGACUCCUACGGGAGGCAGCAGUGGGGAAUCUUCCGCAAUGGGCGAAAGCCUGACGGAGCAACGCCGCGUGAUCGAAUGAAGGCCUUCGGGUUGUAAAGAUCUGUUGACAGGGACGAAUAAGCCAUGCGAAUAGUUUGGUGUAUGACGGUACCUGUUUAGAAAGCUCCGGCUAACUACGUGCCAGCAGCCGCGGUAAUACGUAGGGAGCAAGCGUUGUCCGGAAUUACUGGGCGUAAAGGGCGCGUAGGUGGGUGCUUAAGUCAGGUGUGAAAACUCUGGGCUCAACCUGGAGACUGCACUUGAAACUGGGUAUCUUGAGGGCAGGAGAGGAAAGUGGAAUUCCUAGUGUAGCGGUGAAAUGCAUAGAUAUCACGCAGAACUCCGAUUGCGAAGGCAGCGUACCGGCGCCCAACUGACGCUGAAGCACGAAGGCGUGGGUAUCGAACAGGAUUAGAUACCCCGGUAAC
rnacentral:rRNA from 1 species